UACGUAGGGUGCAAGCGUUAAUCGGAAUUACUGGGCGUAAAGCGUGCGCAGGCGGUUGUGCAAGACAGAUGUGAAAUCCCCGGGCUCAACCUGGGAAUUGCAUUUGUGACUGCACGGCUAGAGUGUGUCAGAGGGGGGGUAGAAUUCCACGUGUAGCAGUGAAAUGCGUAGAGAUGUGGAGGAACACCGAUGGCGAAGGCAGCCCCCUGGGUCAAGAUUGACGCUCAUGCACGAAAGCGUGGGGAGCAAACAGG
rnacentral:rRNA from 1 species